GAUGAACGCUGGCGGCGUGCCUAACACAUGCAAGUUGAGCGAUUCACUUCGGUGAAGAGCGGCGGACGGGUGAGUAACGCGUGGGUAACCUGCCUCAUACACAUGGAUAACAUACCGAAAGGUAUGCUAAUACAAGAUGACAUAAGAGAUUCGCAUGAAUUUCUUAUCAAAGCUCCGGCGGUAUGAGAUGGACCCGCGUCUGAUUAGCUAGUUGGUAAGGUAACGGCUUACCAAGGCGACGAUCAGUAGCCGACCUGAGAGGGUGAUCGGCCACAUUGGAACUGAGACACGGUCCAAACUCCUACGGGAGGCAGCAGUGGGGAAUAUUGCACAAUGGGCGAAAGCCUGAUGCAGCAACGCCGCGUGAGCGAUGAAGGCCUUCGGGUCGUAAAGCUCUGUCCUCAAGGAAGAUAAUGACGGUACUUGAGGAGGAAGCCCCGGCUAACUACGUGCCAGCAGCCGCAGUAAGAC
rnacentral:rRNA from 1 species